rnacentral:rRNA from 2 species
UUGAUUGAUGGUGCUUGCACCUGAUUGAUUUUGGUCGCCAACGAGUGGCGGACGGGUGAGUAACACGUAGGUAACCUGCCCAGAAGCGGGGGACAACAUUUGGAAACAGAUGCUAAUACCGCAUAACAGCGUUGUUCGCAUGAACAACGCUUAAAAGAUGGCUUCUCGCUAUCACUUCUGGAUGGACCUGCGGUGCAUUAGCUUGUUGGUGGGGUAACGGCCUACCAAGGCGAUGAUGCAUAGCCGAGUUGAGAGACUGAUCGGCCACAAUGGGACUGAGACACGGCCCAUACUCCUACGGGAGGCAGCAGUAGGGAAUCUUCCACAAUGGGCGCAAGCCUGAUGGAGCAACACCGCGUGAGUGAAGAAGGGUUUCGGCUCGUAAAGCUCUGUUGUUAAAGAAGAACACGUAUGAGAGUAACUGUUCAUACGUUGACGGUAUUUAACCAGAAAGUCACGGCUAACUACGUGCCAGCAGCCGCGGUAAUACGUAGGUGGCAAGCGUUAUCCGGAUUUAUUGGGCGUAAAGAGAGUGCAGGCGGUUUUCUAAGUCUGAUGUGAAAGCCUUCGGCUUAACCGGAGAAGUGCAUCGGAAACUGGAUAACUUGAGUGCAGAAGAGGGUAGUGGAACUCCAUGUGUAGCGGUGGAAUGCGUAGAUAUAUGGAAGAACACCAGUGGCGAAGGCGGCUACCUGGUCUGCAACUGACGCUGAGACUCGAAAGCAUGGGUAGCGAACAGGAUUAGAUACCCUGGUAGUCCAUGCCGUAAACGAUGAGUGCUAGGUGUUGGAGGGUUUCCGCCCUUCAGUGCCGGAGCUAACGCAUUAAGCACUCCGCCUGGGGAGUACGACCGCAAGGUUGAAACUCAAAGGAAUUGACGGGGGCCCGCACAAGCGGUGGAGCAUGUGGUUUAAUUCGAAGCUACGCGAAGAACCUUACCAGGUCUUGACAUCUUGCGCCAACCCUAGAGAUAGGGCGUUUCCUUCGGGAACGCAAUGACAGGUGGUGCAUGGUCGUCGUCAGCUCGUGUCGUGAGAUGUUGGGUUAAGUCCCGCAACGAGCGCAACCCUUGUUACUAGUUGCCAGCAUUAAGUUGGGCACUCUAGUGAGACUGCCGGUGACAAACCGGAGGAAGGUGGGGACGACGUCAGAUCAUCAUGCCCCUUAUGACCUGGGCUACACACGUGCUACAAUGGACGGUACAACGAGUCGCGAACUCGCGAGGGCAAGCAAAUCUCUUAAAACCGUUCUCAGUUCGGACUGCAGGCUGCAACUCGCCUGCACGAAGUCGGAAUCGCUAGUAAUCGCGGAUCAGCAUGCCGCGGUGAAUACGUUCCCGGGCCUUGUACACACCGCCCGUCACACCAUGAGAGUUUGUAACACCCAAAGUCGGUGGGGUAACCUUUUAGGAGCCAGCCGCC